rfam:Paraphaeosphaeria sporulosa strain AP3s5-JAC2a unplaced genomic scaffold CC84scaffold_5, whole genome shotgun sequence.
GCCCUGCUGGCGCAAUGGUAGCGCGUGGCCCUCCUACAUCUCCCCAGAUCUGCGAGGCCAAGGUUGCAGGUUCGAGUCCUGCGUAGGGCU